AAUGGCUGUGGUGAAUACCUACUUUAAGAAAAGGGAGGAGCACAGGGUGGACUACAUUCUUUAUAGGAGAUGCAAGCUAAAAGAAAUCAUAGACUGUAAGGUGAUGGCAGGAGAGAGUGGCAUUAGACAGCAUAGGAUGGUUGUUUGUCGGAUGACUUUAGAG